CCUGCCGGCGACCGGCGCACGGGUGAGUAACACGUAUGUAACCUGCCCUAUGCAGGGGGAUAACCCGGAGAAAUCCGGCCUAAUACCGCGUAACACCUUUUGGGAGCAUUCCCCGGGAGGUUAAAGGAGAGAUCCGGCAUAGGAUGGACAUGCGUCGCAUUAGGUAGACGGCGGGGUAACGGCCCACCGUGCCGACGAUGCGUAGGGGUUCUGAGAGGAAGGCCCCCCACACUGGUACUGAGACACGGACCAGACUCCUACGGAAGGCAGCAG
rnacentral:rRNA from 1 species